AUGGGCGACGAGUACCAGUGCGAGUCUGAUGAUGAGGUCGCACCACCAAUGUGGCCUAACGUAGGGGAUGCACACCAGAAGCAGUUCAAAAUGGAGAAACUUGGAAAGGACGACGAUGCACUCAAUGAUGUUGAGUUUCGUGAGCAGCCUGCUCGUGCGGAUCUCCACCGGCUAAAGGAAAUUGCAAGCUCUGAGAAAGGCGCUUCUCAAAUGCAAUACUUUGUAAAGCAUUGGGAAUAUAAGCGGGCUAGUAAUGCUCUGCUUUUGAGCGAAGAGCUUGGCCGUCUCUCCCAACAGAGAAAAGAGAUUGAAGAAAAGAAGCAACAAAUCUUGGAGGAGCAGCGAUUUCAGGAUGAAAAUUAUUAUGCUGCGAAGAGGCAAGUACCAAUACUGGAUGAAGUUUACAAGAAUGAAUGGAAGCGUCCGAGCAAAAAGACUGAUGACCAUUCUCGUAAUCAAGAGCUUAAAAUAGAUGCAGAAUACAACACUAUUUCCUAUUGGAAAGAGCGAGCGAUGCGGUUAGAAGAAGCGCUUGAGGCAAGCCUGGAAAGGGAGCGUGCAUUGGAGGAAAAGUUGGAGGAAGAUAUAAAGAAUCUUCAGUCACAUACACCGGUGGAGGAAUUCUCUGGAAUGUUAAAACGGGCUGAUUACUUCUUGCAUUUGGUUCUCCAAAGUGCUCCUAUUGUAAUUGCUCACCAGGAUGCUGACUUGCGGUACCGUUUCAUAUUUAAUCACUUCCCAACACUUGCUGAUGAGGAUGUUAUUGGUAAAACCGACCAUGAGAUAUUGUCAGGUGAGGGUAUAGAUGAAAUGAAUAAUGUCAAGAGGGAGGUUAUGGCCAAGGGUAUACCAACUAAGAGAGAGUUUGUGUUUAACACUCCAUUGUUUGGAGCAAAGACUUUUGUGACAUACAUUGAACCAGUAUUCAGCAAAUCUGGGGAAACAAUUGGUGUGAAUUAUGUUGCAAUGGACAUAACAGACCAGGUCAAAACAAGGGAGAAAAUGGCGGAUAUAAGGGUGAGAGAAGCUAUCCAAAAAGCCAAGGAAACAGAACUUAGCAGAUCUCUGCACAUUACUGAGGAAACUAUGAGAGCAAAACAAAUGCUAGCCACCAUGUCCCAUGAGAUCAGAUCUCCCCUUUCAGGGGUUCUUAGCAUGGCUGAAAUUCUUGCAGCUACUAAACUGGAUAAAGAGCAAUAUCAGUUGCUAGAAGUUAUGUUAUCUUCUGGAGAUCUUGUAUUGCAAUUGAUCAAUGACAUCCUCGAUCUUUCCAAAGUGGAGUCAGGAGCUAUGAAACUAGAGGCUACGACAUUUAGACCAAGGGAAGUAGUUAAACACGUACUCCAAACUGCUGCUGCAUCUCUGAAGAAGGAAUUGACCCUUGAAGGAUUUAUAGGAGAUGAUGUUCCAUUGGAGGUCAUUGGUGAUGUGCUAAGGAUUAGGCAAAUUCUGACCAAUUUAAUCAGCAAUGCAGUGAAGUUUACACAUGAUGGGACGGUUGGGAUAAAACUUCGUCUUGUAGAUAAGCAGCAAGCAGGAUGUGAAAUAGAAAAUGGGCAACUUCAUAUGAGAGCCCAUCCUGCAAGCUCAGUUACUACUGCAGCAGAAAAUUCUGCUGCCUCUCCAAGAAACUGUGAUAAAGAUGCUUCGUGUUGCUCCAGUCGUGAAGAUGUUUGUCAGAAUGGUGUUGUAUCAAAUGAAAAUUUUAGGGAGUACCAUGCGGGAGAAGUUGUUUGGCUUCAGUGCGAUGUACAUGAUACUGGGAUCGGAAUACCAGAGAAGGCACUGCCGUGCCUGUUCAAGAGGUAUAUGCAAGCCAGUACGGACCAUGCAAGAAAAUAUGGUGGAACAGGGCUGGGCCUUGCGAUCUGCAAGCAGUUGGUGGAGUUGAUGGGUGGUACUCUAACUGUGGUUAGCUAUGAGGAUGAAGGAUCAACAUUCACAUUCAUGAUACCUUGCAAAAUUCCUGCAAAAGAGGAGAACAGUGAUGAUCCUGAUGAUGAGGCCAGUACUCGUAAUAAUCUCACUAUCAAUGAUAUAGAAGGAUCUUUCGUUUUCAAGCCGAAAGUGCGCCCUUCUCUCCUGUCUUCUGGAGUUCCAAUAAUGAACAACACCAAGUUCUUUGGCAGCAAUCUUAUGUGCUAUGAUUCUACUAAUGUAAUAGAGGAUCAUAAACCAUUCUCCAAUGGUUUCAUAUCGACGGAAGAUAAUUCUGGAAAGUGUGCCCCUGCUGCUAGUCAAUCAAAUGGUCCAAAUGUUAGCAGCAUAGAUGAAGAAAAAAAUGAUUGUUCAAUGGUCUUUGAACUGAAUAGUCAAGCUGAACGGGUUUCCAGUUCCCGAGCCGACACAACAUCAGUUUCAGGGGCUGGCAUUCAGGAGGGAAGGAAAGCAUGCAAAGCUCUUGAAGAAAACUCACUUAACAAGAAAUCCAAGUGUUCUCCAAGUAGCAGCAAGGCAAAGAUCCUCCUCGUCGAAGAUAACAAAGUCAAUAUAAUGGUGGCAAAAUCAAUGCUGGUGCCGCUGGGCCAUGGAAUAGACAUAGUAAAUAACGGACUGGAAGCAAUCCGUGCAGUACAGCGCCAUCAAUAUGAUAUUAUCCUGAUGGAUGUUCACAUGCCAGUAAUGGAUGGCCUACAAGCCACUAAAUUGAUCCGUUGCUUUGAAAAUACUGGCUGUUGGGAUGCUUCUGUAAAGCCUGAAGACAAUGAGAUGAUAGCUAACUCAGCUAUUUCAUCUGAUUGUGUGCAAGACAAGAAAGGGAAGAGAGUACCUAUAAUUGCGAUGACAGCAAAUUCAUUCGCGGAGAGUGCUGAUGAGUGCCUUGCUGCAGGCAUGGAUUCCUACAUAUCUAAGCCAAUGAACUUCCAAAAAACAAAAGAGUGCCUGCAGCGCUAUUUGUUGUCUCAGUAA
rnacentral:rRNA from 1 species